GGUUGAUCCUGCCAGUAGUCAUAUGCUUGUCUCAAAGAUUAAGCCAUGCAUGUCUAAGUAUAAAUUCUUGUACGAUGAAACUGCAGACGGCUCAUUACAACAGUGAUAAACUAAUAGACUUUCGGGUUUUUAACCUUUUGGAUAACCGCAGUAAAUCGGGGCUAAUACAUAGAAGCGAUGGGUGACUGGCAACGGAAGCUCAGCGAUUAUUAGCAUUACUACCAAUACCUUCGGGUCUUGUGGUGAAACCGAAUAAUAUUGCAGAUCGAGGAUUUAUCUUCGACAAGUCUA
rnacentral:rRNA from 1 species